CUCCUCCUAUUACUCUGCAACAGCUUCAGCUUUUUCUUGGCCUUCCCAAAUCGAAAUAUAGACACACUUUUGGGUUCUUUAUUACCCCCUUGUCCAGUUUCCUUCUUUAGACCAUCCCUUUUUGCUGGGCUACUAGUAACUUGUUCUUGUUCUUGUUCUUCUUCUUCAUCAUCAUACCCACCACCACCACCACUGGAGGAUGGAUCUUUUAUAUCAGAGCCAGACAUAUAAAAAAAGAAUUUGAAUUAAUAAUUUGUAAGUUUAUGAGAUGAAAAAAUCAUGUGUGCACAUACUUUGGACCACAUAGCAGCAGUAGUAUAUCAAAUACAAGUUGUAAACUAGGCAAUGUGUCAGUUGUAUUAUUGUUAGUAUGUUGUACAAUAACAAGACAAAGUCGAUGCAGUAUUGGAGAAACUGUGGGAUUUUUCUCAGAGAUUGGACACAGAAGAAUGGAGAACUAAC
rnacentral:lncRNA from 1 species